rnacentral:lncRNA from 1 species
UUCUCCUUCUUUUUCAUUAUCUCGAUUUAGGGUUUCUAAGAAAAUGUCGAUUUGGUCCCUAACGAAACUUUUCCUAUCAGAUAAGUCGAUGCCGAAAUCUUUCUCGAGUUGUUUCCUUACGCUACCGGCGGUGGCGGUGUCGAGGUCCGAAUCCCGGAGGAUUUCUCGGAGCCGGGCUACGAGGUCCGAAUCCGAUACCAUUUUCUUUUUUAAAGUAUAAUAAAAUGAAUCCGGUUUCUUCCGGUUCGGUGAUAUUUUUGCC